rnacentral:tRNA from 1 species
GGGCCCGUCGUCUAGCCUGGUUAGGACGCCGCCCUUACAAGCCCCCGCUAAGUAAGGCGGAGGUCCUGGGUUCAAGUCCCAGCGGGCCCA